rnacentral:rRNA from 1 species
UACGGAGGGUGCAAGCGUUAAUCGGAAUUACUGGGCGUAAAGCGUGCGUAGGCGGUUUGUUAAGUCUGUUGUGAAAUCCCCGGGCUCAACCUGGGAAUGGCAAUGGAUACUGGCAAGCUAGAGUGUGUCAGAGGAUGGUGGAAUUCCCGGUGUAGCGGUGAAAUGCGUAGAGAUCGGGAGGAACAUCAGUGGCGAAGGCGGCCAUCUGGGACAACACUGACGCUGAGGCACGAAAGCGUGGGGAGCAAACAGG